rnacentral:tRNA from 1 species
GGAGAGAUGGCUGAGUUUGGCUGAAAGCGCUCGAUUCGAAAUCGAGUAGGCAGCCGCAAGCUGCCUCGGGGGUUCGAAUCCCUCUCUCUCCGCCA